ACAUGGUGCAAUGCCUUACUCUGCUAAGAGGAGCCAGUGCUUGUUGCUGCUUACAGAGGAUUCACAAACUGCUGUGCUUUGCAGUGCAGUACUAGACCUUCCUCCAGAUAGUGCUUCUGUGGAGGAAUACCACCAACCAACUCCACGCUAGACAGCCAACCUUGGCUUCUCACUCAGAUCCAUUGCUGGAAAAAUAAUCCAUCCCCACACUGUAUUUUGCAGGUAACUACAGUCUCAUGUAUUUGUAAUUUCUCCUUUGAGUUUUGCUGUAAGAUUAUCCGAGUGCACUAAUAUUGUUGCAGAGGAGAAAUACCCUGAGUGUAUAAAACUUCCUGAGGGUUUCAGGGCAGAAUUCAUGACAAUAAGAAGUCUGAAAAUGCCAGGGAGCGAAAUGAAAAUUGUUUGGAAGAUUAACGUUAAUGAAGAAGGAAUUGUUUCACCUACAAUUGACCUUUUGCCCAAGGUACCAGAACAAGUGCUUGCCAUUGACAAUGAGGAUGUCAUGGGACGUGCUCCUCGCUGCUUCAGAAACAUGCUGCACCUGGCUGGGAUAGAGGCAUCUAUCAAUAAUUUAGUUAAAACAUUUUGUAUGGGAGACUGAUAAUAUAAAAACAAUUAACAGUAGCUAUUUCAGAAGUUAUAGAUUUUAUUUUUAAUGAAUAUAAACACCUCUUAUUUACAAACAUUUCUAAUAAAUUCAUCUGUACAUCUUUGUGGCACACUAUAUAUAAAUUUUCAAGACAAGAAAAAUAAAUACAGCCAUUUAAAUACAAAAAUCCCAAACUAAACAGUUAAUGUACAAUGAAUUACAUUACAAAUCUACAAUAAAAAGAGUGAUUUUUGAAUUAC